rnacentral:rRNA from 1 species
UACGGAGGGUGCAAGCGUUAUCCGGAUUCACUGGGUUAAAGGGUGCGUAGGCGGGUUGGUAAGUCCGUGGUGAAAUCCCCAAGCUUAACUUGGGAACUGCCGUGGAUGCUAUCAAUCUUGAAUAUCGUGGAGGUAAGCGGAAUAUGUCAUGUAGCGGUGAAAUGCUUAGAUAUGACAUAGAACACCAAUUGCGUAGGCAGCUUACUACACGAUCAUUGACGCUGAGGCACGAAAGCGUGGGGAGCAAACAGG